AUGGAGCCGUCGCGGCGGCUUCUGCUCUCCGACUACGACGGCGCGAUCAUGUCGCCGCUGCCGUCGCCGUCCACGUCCUCGGCCGCGCCGUUCAAGCCGGGCGUGGCGGUGGUCGUGGGGAUACUGACGAGCGUCUUCUCCAUCACGUUCCUCCUGCUGCUCUACGCCAAGCACUGCAAGCGGAGCGCCGCGGAGUCGUCGGGCCCGUACGGCAGCGGUGGUGGUUCCGGUGGCGGGGCGGCGGGUGAGCGGAGGAACUCCGGCGUGGAACGCGCGGUGGUGGAGUCGCUCCCGGUGUUCCGCUUCGGCGCGCUGCGCGGGCAGAAGGCCGGGCUCGAGUGCGCCGUCUGCCUCGGCCGCUUCGAGCCGACGGAGGCGCUGCGGCUGCUGCCCAAAUGCCGGCAUGGGUUCCACGUCGAGUGCGUGGAUACGUGGCUGGAUGCGCACUCCACGUGCCCGCUCUGCCGCUCCCGCGUCGACCCGGAGGACGUGCUGCUCCUGCCCGAGCCGCCCAAGCCGUCCACGACGGGACCUCCCGAACCGCCGGAGCAGAAAGCUGCUGCUGCUGCUGCCACUGCCGUUGCGACGGUCAAGGACAAGAGCAAGGACGCAGCCUUGGCUCCUGCACCUGCUCCCUCCCCGGCGUGGCGAAGGAUCGGGGGCCGGCACUCGACGGGGUCAGUGCGAGCGCCUGGGCGGGUUGGCCCUACGUCACGGCGCUCGGCCGAUCUGGAGUUGGGAGGAGGCGAUGGUGGCGCGGCUACGGUGGGCUGCUUCGACGUCGCGAAGGUGAGGAAGGACCGGGUGCUGAUGGUGGAGCCGGCAGCCGCAGUGGCGGAGCCCGAUCCCGUGGCGUUCGACAGGCGCUUCGGGCACCGUAUCCUGGUGAGCACCGCGUGCGGCUGCGACGACGAGACGGCCCCGGCAGCGAAGCAGCGGUGGAGCGACCUCCGGCCGGCCGAUCUGAUGUUCGUGCGGUCAGAGAUGCUGGUGACAGAGACCGGGCGAUACUCCUGCUCGGCCGCCGUCAACUCAGGCAACCGCGGCAGGACGGAGAUCAGCGGGCGCUGCCUCUCCGAGAUCGCCGGCGUGAGCCGCCUCCCUCCGAUCCGCGCCGGCGCAGAAGCGCGGGCCGGGAGCGCGCGUCGGUGGCCGGGCUCGAGCUGGUGGGCCCGGGGCUCGCCCGGCGUUAACGGCCCUAGCACCUAG
rnacentral:rRNA from 1 species